CCUACGGGGGGCUGCAGUGGGGAAUAUUGGACAAUGGGGGGAACCCUGAUCCAGCCAUGCCGCGUGUGUGAAGAAGGCCCUCGGGUUGUAAAGCACUUUCAGUGAGGAAGAACGCCUGGUGGUUAAUACCCAUCAGGAAAGACAUCACUCACAGAAGAAGCACCGGCUAACUCCGUGCCAGCAGCCGCGGUAAUACGGAGGGUGCGAGCGUUAAUCGGAAUUACUGGGCGUAAAGCGCGCGUAGGUGGCUUGAUAAGCCGGUUGUGAAAGCCCCGGGCUCAACCUGGGAACGGCAUCCGGAACUGUCAAGCUAGAGUGCAGGAGAGGAAGGUAGAAUUCCCGGUGCAGCGGUGAAAUGCGUAGAGAUCGGGAGGAAUACCAGUGGCGAAGGCGGCCUUCUGGACUGACACUGACACUGAGGUGCGAAAGCGUGGGUAGCAAACAGGAUUAAUACCCUGGUAGUC
rnacentral:rRNA from 1 species